GAGAAGAAAAUAAAUAAAUCCUCCAUAGACAGACACAGAGGAGGAGGAGUGACGUCAUUACGCACAACAAAGAUCAGCUGCUGAUGGAGCUAAACAUAGUGCAGCGGCCCAAGAUAGAAACACACAGGUGAAGACGCGCGGCGUCCGCCAGGGGGCGCGCACUAACAUGAUUUACAUACUAAAGAAAAACGUAACACAAUAGGUAAAAAUGAAUAGUUAAAAUAAUACCAACAAAAUAACAUCAUUAGAACAUAAUAGCACAUGAAUAACACAUAAUAUGACAACAAUAUACUAAAAGAAUCCUUUUUUAUUCAUAAAUAGGUUCAUAGAUUAUGUUCCUUGUAUCUAACAACAACAAGUUAAAAUCUAAUAAUUGUUUUAUUUCUGUGAAAUGUUUCAUUUUAUUCUAUUUUAUUUCAUAUUUAACGCACUCAAAGAUUAUUUUCCGUGUUUUUAUCAACCUGGCCUCUUAUUUCGAAAGUAAAGCAGGAAGUGACGUUGUUGUAUCGGAGCGAAGCAGCUGAUCGUGAACCGCGAGCAGUAUGUGAAUUGAACCAAGACCAGAACCAGGACCAGGACGAGCAGGACCACGUGGAUCCGCUCUGGACUGUGAGCGACGGAAAACUCGCGACGAGAAAAACAGUUCAGCUGCGGCGUCUGCCUCCAGCGGUUCCCCACACAUCACGAGCCAUCGAGCGAGGACCCAUCAGAAAGGUCAAGUGGUCUGGUGGUUGGACCUGAACAAACUUGUGUUAAGACUUGUGUAAAACAGUUACUCAUCAGAUAUGACUACUGAUGAUUUAAAGGUAAAUUUCACUAAUGAGUGUGUUUUUUUGACUUUCUACUUUGUUCCAAAUUCAUUUACUCUGACAUAGUAACACUAACAUACAGAGGCUGUAAUUGUGAAGAUAUAUCUACAGUAGUUUAUUUUGAAAAAGAUUCUGAAAGACUCCACACUCUGACACUUUCAUUUUGAAAAUCUGGAUCUUUCUUCACACAAUUUUACUUUGAUUCUCAACGAGUCAUCAUUCAUCAAAGUUUUCUAUUUGUAAUUUAUUACUCACUUUAUUUACAAAUGAUGUCAUUACGUUUGCCUUUACUUUGGAAAAAUAAACAAAUCCAAAUGUUUUAA